AAAUCACUUUAAGUCGCCUUAAGGUACGUUUACACGCUGCGAUUUGUCGGGCCGAUUUUGCUCGCUGUAUGUAAAUAACCUGUCGUGAGUACUCGCGUCAGCACCUUGCGAUUCACAAAAUCGGGAGAAAAAUCUGUAACAAAACCACAGAUUUUUCUCACGAUUCAACGAUUUUUCUUCCGUUGUAAAGUUGUUGAAAACUUUUCGCACGCAGAAAACUAUAACAUGAACAGACGAGAGAGCGGACAGCUUCAAUUGAACGUUUAAAUCGCUAAAUGUCGAAGAAGGGGCAUCGAUUAUUUACCAAAAUCGGCCCGACAAAUCGCAGCGUGUAAACGUAGCUUAAG